rnacentral:rRNA from 1 species
AGCAGCCGCGGUAAUUCCAGCUCCAAUAGCGUAUAUUAAAGUCGUUGCAGUUAAAAAGCUCGUAGUUGAAUUUCGGGGUUCUACCGUUGGUCGGGCAAUAGUCUGUACUGGCGUGUAGAAUUUCUACCUUCUGGGGAACCAUCAUGCUAUUUAUUUAGCGUGGUGGGAAACCAGGACCUUUACCUUGAAAAAAUUAGAGUGUUCAAAGCAGGCUUACGUCUGAAUACAUUAGCAUGGAAUAAUAAAAUAGGACGGUGGUCCUGUUUUGUUGGUUUCUCAAUCACCGUAAUGAUUAAUAGGGAUAGUUGGGGGCAUUAGUAUUCAAUUGUCAGAGGUGAAAUUCUUGGAUUUAUUGAAGACUAACUUCUGCGAAAGCAUUUGCCAAGGAUGUUCUCAUUAAUCAAGAACGAAAGUUAGGGGAUCGAAGACGAUCAGAUACCGUCGUAGUCUUAACCAUAAACUAUGCCGACUAGGGAUCGGACGAUGUUAAAUUUUUCUUGACUCGUUCGGCGCCUUACGG